UCAGACACUUCAGAUGAACGCAGUGGCUGAGCCUUUACAUGGAGACCCUGUGGCAGGACUAGUGAGUGCUCAGCUCAGCUUGCCAGCGGGGUGAAUCCCCACUCUUGCUCUUUGUAGAAUAUUCCCCGAGCAACACACAAGUUUCCUCAUGGUUUCCACCCCAAGUAUGCACACCCAUACCCACCUCCACCUGCACACGUGCACACACACACACACACACACCUCCAUCUACACACACACACACACAUACCCCUCCAUCUACACACACACACACCUUCAGACACCCACACCCACCUCCAUACACACACACACACCACACCUCCAUCCACACACCACACACACACACACACACACACACACCUCCAUCCACACACAUACCCCUCCAUCCGCACACACCCCUCCAUCCACACACACACACACACACACACCCCUCCAUCCACACACACACACACACACCCCUCCAUCCACACACACACACACACACCUCCAUCCACACACACACCACACACACACCUCCAUCUGCACACACACACACACACACCACACACACACCUCUAUCCACACACAUACCCCUCCAUCCGCACACACCCCUCCAUCACACACACACACGCACACACCUCCAUCCACACACACACCCCUCCAUCCACACACAUACCCCUCCAUCCGCACACACCCCUCCAUCUGCACACACACACACCUCCAUCCACACACACACACACACACACAACCCCUCCAUCCACACACAUACCCCUCCAUCCGCACACACCCCUCCAUCCACACACACACACACACACACCCCUCCAUCCACACACACACACACACACCCUCCAUCUGCACACACACAGACCCCUCCAUCCACACACACACACACACACACACCUUCAGAUACCCACACCCACCUCCAUACACACACACAUACCUCUAUCCACACACACACACACACACACACACCCCUCCAUCUGCACACACACACACACACGCACACACCUCCAUCCGCACACACACACCUCCAUCUGCACACAGGCACCUUCAGUCCCCCCAUGCUCCCACACCAUCCUGCACACAUACAUACACCCUGCCCCCGGAACUAGGAUGGGGUGAUAGGCCAGGGUGAAAAGUUUCUG
rnacentral:lncRNA from 1 species